UUCACUCUCUACACUGGCUCCCUUGGGACAACAUUCUUACUUUUCAAAGCAUACAAAGUCAUCAAGAACAAGAAUGAUCUCAAUCUCUGCAUUGAAAUUGUGAGGGCUUGUGAUACUGCUUCACGAGAAUCAGGACAUGUGACAUUCAUCUGUGGUCAGGCUGGUGUGUGCACCCUUGGUGCCAUGGCUGCAAAGAACGCUGGGGAUCAUGCACUGCUCAACCACUACCUAUCCCAGUUCAAAGCGGUAAUGCUUUGAAAAGUUGUUGGCUAGAAAGUUCGUAAUGGUUGCCUUCUCGAGCCGAAAAAGAUAUUUAUGCGGUAGUAAACCAUUGUUUCUUUGUUUGGAAUUCUAAAUGCUUAUUGGUUACCCUGGUAACUCUUGUGUACUAUCCAUUUUUUGUUCCUUGUCAAAUGUACUACCUCAUUUGGCCAUCACUUCUCUUGGGGGUUUCUGGAUUGUGUAUGAAUUGCCACUUCAUAGGGUAUGGUCAUGAAGGAAAUCAUCAAGGAUGGAAUACGAUUAGCCAACAAGGGUAGUUGCCCAUUGAUUUUUUCUUAUAUGGAGGCUUUCUCAAACAUAUGUUGAGUUGCUGGAAAUCCAAAACUCAAUGAUUGUGGAAGAGCACGAUGUCUCAUGUGAAGCUCCAAUCCAAAAUGAGUAAGUUGCAGGAUAGUCCAUAGAGUGAGUGAGGUUUUGAGAAGCUAUCACCAGACUAUCAUACUGUCAGAUCCAUCUGAGUUAUGGGCUGCAUAUAGGUGGUUAUACCAAUGACCCUAUAAAAAUAGAGAUCUAAAAAUACCCAAGAAUUCUUUUAUUAGAGACGAUACUGUUAUUACUCCUUAGUUGUUGUGACUUGUGAUUAAUGACCUUUUUAUAUAUAAUACAUUGUCAAUGAUGAUGAGGAACUGACGAGGGCCUCACAAGCAUUGUUGUGUGAAAGUAACACAGUUUUGAAAUAGUGAUCGCUCAGUGGUCAUCAAGGACUGGAUAAAGCUCCACAGGUAAAAUCUGGAUCUUCUUCGAUUGUUUCAUUUGUUUCUUUUAACUAUUUAACUAUGCAUUGUUGAAUUCUUCCAAUGGGGUUAUAGGCCUUAUAGUCAAUCCUUGGUGUGGCAUGUGGGUGUGUUUAACUUAGAUGUAAAUAUUAUCAUGUAAUUCAAAAUGAGCAGAAAUAGGCAUAACCUGUUUUUCCAUAGGGUCGCCCAGACGCUUGAAAAUGGUGUUUUAUUGUUAUAGGUUGGCCUCAAGUACAAUGAGUCAGUAGUAAUAGUGGUAACUGGAUGCCCCAAUGGUUGUGCCAAGCCUUAUAUGGCUUAGCUUGGACUGGCUGGCAAUGGACCCAACAGAUAAUGGGUAUUUCACAUGCUAAUUUUGUCAGAAACUAUAGAUCAAUGUUUGGGUUAUAAAGAAGUGUUCUGUAGCAGACAUCAGAGUGCAUCAUGUGACAAUUACCACUGUGGGCCCACUGGCAUGGAAAUGCUGCAACAGGACAUUGUCGCAUCCGAAUGCAUCAUGGCCCUUCCAUUUUUUCCAUCAAAUGUUGUCUCUUUUUCGCCAAUGGUAGGCCCUUAAUGCAAAUGGAAGAUUUGAACCCAACAGAUAAGAUAGACAUGAAGGAUAAUGAUUUCUUCCAGUGAAAUGUGGUUAGAGUUAGAGCUAACAAAUGUUACUCGGAAAUGUCUAUUGCAAUGUUAAUAUACACUGGUCUUAGUUUGCAUUUGCUACCCUUCCCAAAGCCACACCAAUACCACUAUCAUACAAAAGUAAUAUCACUGUUUUUUAAGUCUCUGGACAAUUCUAAACCUUACAUUCCUGCCCUGUUUCCCAAUGGUCAAAAACUUGAAAUGGUUCUCUAUCUCUUGCAUGAAAGAUCAAGAUCAACAAUCUUGAUCAUCGAAUUUGUGUACAGUAGCGGAGGUAAACUGGCCACCAGGAUUAGAUGACUCUCUGCUUCUUCUCUUCCUUGUUAUGUUUCCACCAGGUUCGCAAAACUAUAUAAAUUUAGAAAAUCUACGAAGCUUCUAUUAGAAUUUUAGAAAUUCUAUGAAUUCGGCUACAUCAACAUAGAGGUUGAAUUCAACUACCCAAUGAAGAUGAAAUUCUGUGAAUUCCGUCUUCAUUGGGUAGACAGUUUCAAGGGAAGCUGGAGGGAAUGGAACCUGAAGUUGUGGGUCCUCUGCUGCUGCAGGAAAAUACUUCGACAUGCCAGUAUUUGUGUUCUUAUAAUUAAAAAAUGUUAAUAAAAUCCUUGAUGAGGACUUCUGUUCCAUUUAUGCCAUAUGGGGCAAAGAUUGUGAUUCAGUCCUUUUUGUUCUUGUUUUGUAGCUUAACGAGGAGUACCAACAAAUUUUAUUUUAUUUUUUUUCU